CUGGCCGUCCCGCCCCUCCGAAUCCUCGGGAGAAGCGGGACUAAGGAUCAAGCUGAGGUGAAUGUGUAGCCCUGUGACCUCAGCGCACGGGGGCGGGGCGAUCGCCGAACACCCCCGCCCUCCCCGCCUCCAGCGCGAGUGACAACCCGGUCUCUGGCUCUGGAGCUGCGGCGCGGAACAAGCCCCGCAGGGCCUUCCCUGGCCGCCAACACACCACUCCCGGAGCUGAUUCCCUGUGCCCAGCUCCUUUCUUGGCGAGGCUUCAGUCCCUUAGUCGGCCUCAGUCUGUCCGCCUUCGGAGAGGUCUGAGCGCUGGCCGGAGACAGGUAGACACCGAGAAUGACAGAACCUAGAGGAAGCUGGAGAGAGGCAGCGAGGAAACGAGGGCCCGGCGGGCAGCAGCAUGAAAUUCAGCCCAGUGCCCUACCUGCAGCCUCUCCUGCCCGCGCUGGUCCUCAGCACCAGCUCACAGGUUGUUUUCUUCGUCACUAACUCCGAAUUUCUGAGAGAUGUCAAGCAGAGCCCAAUCUAAUAUACAAGUUCUGGUUGCAUAGCUGUACCCACUAUAAUUACAUUUCAAAAAAUGUAUAGCAUGAUAGACUUGGGAUUUGGAGGAUAGAGGAGAAAGAAGUUGGCAACCCCUCCAUCAACACAAUGAGAAAUAAUAAAGAGAAAGACAAAAGAUACUUCAGGAGCUUAUAGGCGAUAAUAUCACCAUUUGAACAAAGUUUCAUCCUGACAAUUCAAUUGAUGGUGCUGGAUGACAAUAGAGAUUCACAGCACUUUUGGACAAGAUUUGCUUAAGAAGUAUGUGGAGGAGGGUAUUCUGGGAAGAUGGCAGCAUCAGAAGCACCAGGAUUUGUUUACCCACCUAGACAACAAUUGUACUGGCAAAAUAUUUCUGAUGUAAAUAUUUGGAACUCCGGAGGCAAAGGCUUGGAAGUCAUGUGAAGAUACAAUGGGAAGACAGCUGUGUGCAAACCAGGAAGAAUUCUCUCACAGACGCAAGAUUUGCUGGCACCUUGACUUGGACUUCCCAGUCUCCAGAACCAUGUGAAACAAAUGUUGUUUAAGCCACCCAAUCUAUGGUGUUCUGUUAUAGCAGCCAGAACUUAUUAAGACACUAUUUUACGUAGCAUUCUCAAUUAUGAUGCCAUUUGCUAUUUCAAAGAUGGGUGGGUGUGGCAUAUCACCAUUGAGACAAAUUUCAUAUACUGCCAGCUGAAACUCAGUGUUUUCACUUCCUAAUGUGAAACAUUUGAGUCCUGCCUCCUGCAUCCUACAGUUAUGCAUCACUUAGAUUGAAUGAGGAAUCCUGUCUUUCAUCAUUCACUUUACUUGACCCAAUUGAUGAGAGAAAUCAUAUUUCUGACUACUCCAGUGAAAAUUACCCAUAUUGUUAAUUUUUGUUGUUGUUGUUAAAUUAUCUAUGGGCUCAAGAGGCCAUGAAAUAUAAUCCACCAAGAUAAUCCUAAUAAAGAAGUGUUUUAUGCAGUUUGAGUUGUUUUCACUGUGGCCUCUGUGCAAGAAUAUUAUAAAACCCAAUUUAGAAUUGUUUUUCUGAAACAAAUUAGUUGAGCAGCAACUACAUUUCAGUUUCUGCUUCACAAGGGAGUGGCUGAACUCCUGCAAAACUUUCAUUAUGUUCUUGCUUUCUUACUAGGAGUUUAAUUCUCUCCGUAGGUAAAUUCAGUUUAGAAUUUAUUUUUCAGGGUUGUCUGCAAUUUAUUUUGCAUUAUUUGAUCUUGUAAUAUAAUCAUGGAGUAUUAUGGUUGCAUAAGCAUACAAAUUCAAGAAUAAGAUGCAUGCACUUCUCAGUAAGGUUUUUCCUCUCUGCACUGUGCUUGGUGAAAGUGUUGUGUAUGUAGAUUAAAGAGAGGUGACAGAAUGACAGAUCCCGAAGGUAAACUGACUGGGAUUUCAAAUUCUAGUUGCAUCACUUAUUGAUUUUUUAAACUUAAGGAAUUUACUAACAUUUAUCUGCUUUGGUAUAACUACUUUCUAAAUGGAUUAGAAAAUUCCCUGUGCCUCAAUUUCUUCACCCAUAAUGCACAAUAUAGGUUAAUCUUUAAUUUGUGAGUUAGUGAUGGGUUUGUUGGGAAAAAUAAAUGAAUUUUUAAAAUAGUUGUUAAAAUUGCUUGUCACAUGGUAAGAACAUGCAUUAUUCUCUAUUUUAUCUCUGUUGUAAUUUUAGUAUCUAUGCGAAACCUAUAUCUGCAAAGUUAUUUGAUUUGCAUGUGUGUAUGUACAGACACACUAAAAGAAAGGCAUUAGGUUGUUGAAUAGAAGCAAGGACGUCACUAAUGUUAAUAAACAAAAUUUUACAAUGUAUUUGGGGAUUGAAACACACACACACACACACACAAACACGCACACACAUCAUUACAUACAGAAAUACACAGCUUUGAGAAAAUAUUUUUCUAUAAUUUAUGGGGAAGAAGUAAUCUCAUUCUAUGACCCAGUCCAAAAUAUUUUUGAUGUUUACCUUCAAAACAGUGAGAUAUACAGAUGUCUUAAUUUUUUUGAAGCAAGAUAAUUUUUCUAUAAUAUAAUCAUACUGGAAAGGUUGUAUGGGAUUUUUUGAUUAAUUAAUAAACUGAGACUUAACAGUAUCAAUGCAAAAAUUGCACUAGGCAAAGUUAAACAGGAAACGAACACUUUAUUUAAGGGUAUAGCAACGGGAGAUAGAGACAACACACAGUCUGAACUCAACUCCACUGAAACAAAGAGCAGAAGGAUUUCUGAGAGCUGGGCAGGGAGAACUGUAGGCCCACUGCAUUGUUUGCUAAUUGGCCUCACCGAAAGGAAAAUUAAACUUUCUUGUAUCUUCAUUGCAGUUGAUAGUUGUACAUCACGGAUGAAGUCACCCACCAAACAUAGGCUCCUACCAUCCUUCAGAGAGUGGGAGAUAGGGGUACUGUCAUCCCUAGUUAUUACGUUUCAAAAGAAUGACUUCCUUGAGAAAGAUAGUCCUAAAUUGUAAAAUUGGAAAAAGGCUUUUAGAAACAUUACAUUUUACAGGGUAGAGAAAUAAUGUACAAUCGCAGGUUUUAUAAAGUAAAUGCUCUAAGAAAAAAGGAAGUUGGGGCAUACAGUCAUGAAAAAUGUUGUCCAAAGUUUAGUCGAGCUGAGGGAAAUACUAAGACCAUCUUUUGUUUAUAAUUUAUAAAUCUGACUAUUUUAAAAUUUAAACAAAACAAUACAAAACCAGGAUCAUUUUGGACAGAUAAACUCCCUUUACCUCAGCAUGCUUAUCUGUGAAAUUGAGAUUUUAAUAUUUGAUUCAUUUGAUUUGUCGUGAGGUUUUAAUUAAAUGGUAUAGGCAAACACUUCACAGGCUGGAAGAUUAUUUUUCAAUCAAUACAAGAGCUGUUAGUUUUAUCACUGGCAUUAUUUUUCCUCCAUAGUACAAUUUAAUUCCUCUAUACAAUGUCAAUCUACCACUCUGAAAAGCUGACUCAAUAAGUAUUUUAAAGGAAAAUGAAAAAAAUAUUAACCAGGUGUUCUGGCAAUAAGCAAUACCACUAUUAUCACCAUACUAGUUAAUUACUGAAACAGUGGAGGCUCUGUUCUGAAAAAAAAAAAUUUAUUGGCUUCAAUAAAAUUAAAAUCUGAUUUGAACAAGGAAAUAAAAAUCUGACAUCAUAAAUAUCCUUUUCACAUUUAUAUACAGUUAUGUGUUCCCAUUCAAAUGAAAUCUGUUUUAAUAAAUAAUUAUUAUUUUUUUCCUUAUUAGUAUAUUUUUGACACUGGGAGAUAUUGAAUACCAAAUCUUAAAAUUAUUAAGGGAAAUGAGGAUUUUCUAUAUCACCUUCUGCUGUUUGCAACGUUUGUAGUUCCAAUGUUAAUAGUCUAAUUUGUUAAACGACCACAAAUUCCAUGUAAAUGUGCUGUUAAAUUAAUGGUCCCAGUCUUAGGAGGUAACUAGAUGAGUAAAAUAUGUUCUCUUUUUGAAAAAUAGUGCUGGCUCUUUGCUGUAAAUUACCCCUUUUAAGAAGCCAGAUGGUGAGUGGAAAAAGUAAUUUAAUUUAAAAAGCAUAAAGUGUAUUUAAACACAGGAUUGAAAUGAAUAUUUUAUGUAUAUAUUUAUAUGAUUGAACAUGUUCAAGAGAUUUUACACUACUUCUAGCUGAAAAUUAUAUGGAAUGGAUCAAUAAAGAAAUAUAAUAAGGAUCAUCCUGAUUAUAUAGAUCAUCCUGCUAGAAGUAUAUCAUUUAGCCCAGAGUAUAUAAAGAUCUAUAUGGACAAGUAAUAAAAUCUUACUAUUCUCAACUGGAAAUCUUCAUUCUUUGAACAUAUUUUAUGUGCUCAUUUUACAGACCCUCCUAGAGAUAU